GAGGAGUGGAGAUGGCGGCGGCGGCGGCUCAGGGGGGCGGGGGCGGGGAGCCCCGUAGAACCGAGGGGGUCGGCCCGGGGGUCCCGGGGGAGGUGGAGAUGGUGAAGGGGCAGCCGUUCGACGUGGGCCCGCGCUACACGCAGUUGCAGUACAUCGGCGAGGGCGCGUACGGCAUGGUCAGCUCGGCCUAUGACCACGUGCGCAAGACUCGCGUGGCCAUCAAGAAGAUCAGCCCCUUCGAACAUCAGACCUACUGCCAGCGCACGCUCCGGGAGAUCCAGAUCCUGCUGCGCUUCCGCCAUGAGAAUGUCAUCGGCAUCCGAGACAUUCUGCGGGCGUCCACCCUGGAAGCCAUGAGAGAUGUCUACAUUGUGCAGGACCUGAUGGAGACUGACCUGUACAAGUUGCUGAAAAGCCAGCAGCUGAGCAAUGACCAUAUCUGCUACUUCCUCUACCAGAUCCUGCGGGGCCUCAAGUACAUCCACUCCGCCAACGUGCUCCACCGAGAUCUAAAGCCCUCCAACCUGCUCAUCAACACCACCUGCGACCUUAAGAUUUGUGAUUUCGGCCUGGCCCGGAUUGCCGAUCCUGAGCAUGACCACACCGGCUUCCUGACGGAGUAUGUGGCUACGCGCUGGUACCGGGCCCCAGAGAUCAUGCUGAACUCCAAGGGCUAUACCAAGUCCAUCGACAUCUGGUCUGUGGGCUGCAUUCUGGCUGAGAUGCUCUCUAACCGGCCCAUCUUCCCUGGCAAGCACUACCUGGAUCAGCUCAACCACAUUCUGGGCAUCCUGGGCUCCCCAUCCCAGGAGGACCUGAAUUGUAUCAUCAACAUGAAGGCCCGAAACUACCUACAGUCUCUGCCCUCCAAGACCAAGGUGGCUUGGGCCAAGCUUUUCCCCAAGUCAGACUCCAAAGCCCUUGACCUGCUGGACCGGAUGUUAACCUUUAACCCCAAUAAACGGAUCACAGUGGAGGAAGCGCUGGCUCACCCCUACCUGGAGCAGUACUAUGACCCGACGGAUGAGCCAGUGGCCGAGGAGCCCUUCACCUUCGCCAUGGAGCUGGAUGACCUACCUAAGGAGCGGCUGAAGGAGCUCAUCUUCCAGGAGACAGCACGCUUCCAGCCCGGAGUGCUGGAGGCCCCCUAGCCCAGACAGACAUCUCUGCACCCUGGGGCCUGGAACAGAACUGGCAAAGAGGCAAGAGGUCACUGAGGGCCUCUGUCACCCAGGACCUGCCUCCUGCCUGCCCCUCUCCCGCCAGACUGUUAGAAAAUGGACACUGUGCCCAGCCCGGACCUUGGCAGCCCAGGCCGGGGUGGAGCAUGGGCCUGGCCACCUCUCUCCUUUGCUGAGGCCUCCAGCUUCAGGCAGGCCAAGGCCUUCUCCUCCCCACCCGCCCUCCCCACGGGGCCUCGGGACCUCAGGUGGCCCCAGUUCAAUCUCCCGCUGCUGCUGCUGCGCCCUUACCUUCCCCAGCGUCCCAGUCUCUGGCAGUUCUGGAAUGGAAGGGUUCUGGCUGCCCCAACCUGCUGAAGGGCAGAGGUGGAGGGUGGGGGGCGCUGAGUAGGGACUCAGGGCCAUGCCUGCCCCCCUCAUCUCAUUCAAACCCCACCCUAGUUUCCCUGAAGGAACAUUCCUUAGUCUCAAGGGCUAGCAUCCCUGAGGAGCCAGGCCGGGCCGAAUCCCCUCCCUGUCAAAGCUGUCACUUCGCGUGCCCUCGCUGCUUCUGUGUGUGGUGAGCAGAAGUGGAGCUGGGGGGCGUGGAGAGCCCGGCGCCCCUGCCACCUCCCUGACCCGUCUAAUAUAUAAAUAUAGAGAUGUGUCUAUGGCUGA